UACAGAGGCCCCAAGCGUUGUUCGGAUUCACUGGGCGUAAAGGGUGCGUAGGCGGCGCGGUAAGUCGGGUGUGAAAUCUCGGGGCUUAACUCCGAAACUGCAUUCGAUACUGCCGUGCUUGAGGACUGGAGAGGAGACUGGAAUUUACGGUGUAGCGGUGAAAUGCGUAGAUAUCGUAAGGAAGACCAGUGGCGAAGGCGGGUCUCUGGACAGUUCCUGACGCUGAGGCACGAAGGCCAGGGGAGCAAACGGG
rnacentral:rRNA from 1 species